UAGGGAAUCUUCCACAAUGGGCGCAAGCCUGAUGGAGCAACACCGCGUGAGUGAAGAAGGGUUUCGGCUCGUAAAGCUCUGUUGUUAGAGAAGAACGUGCGUGAGAGUAACUGUUCACGCAGUGACGGUAUCUAACAGAAAGUCACGGCUAACUACGUGCCAGCAGCCGCGGUAAUACGUAGGUGGCAAGCGUUGUCCGGAAUUAUUGGGCGUAAAGGGCUCGCAGGCGGUUUCUUAAGUCUGAUGUGAAAGCCCCCGGCUCAACCGGGGAGGGUCAUUGGAAACUGGGGAACUUGAGUGCAGAAGAGGAGAGUGGAAUUCCACGUGUAGCGGUGAAAUGCGUAGAGAUGUGGAGGAACACCAGUGGCGAAGGCGACUCUCUGGUCUGUAACUGACGCUGAGGAGCGAAAGCGUGGGGAGCGAACA
rnacentral:rRNA from 1 species